rnacentral:rRNA from 1 species
CAUGCAAGUCGAGCGGACAGAUGGGAGCUUGCUCCCUGAUGUUAGCGGCGGACGGGUGAGUAACACGUGGGUAACCUGCCUGUAAGACUGGGAUAACUCCGGGAAACCGGGGCUAAUACCGGAUGGUUGUUUGAACCGCAUGGUUCAAACAUAAAAGGUGGCUUCGGCUACCACUUACAGAUGGACCCGCGGCGCAUUAGCUAGUUGGUGAGGUAACGGCUCACCAAGGCAACGAUGCGUAGCCGACCUGAGAGGGUGAUCGGCCACACUGGGACUGAGACACGGCCCAGACUCCUACGGGAGGCAGCAGUAGGGAAUCUUCCGCAAUGGACGAAAGUCUGACGGAGCAACGCCGCGUGAGUGAUGAAGGUUUUCGGAUCGUAAAGCUCUGUUGUUAGGGAAGAACAAGUACCGUUCGAAUAGGGCGGUACCUUGACGGUACCUAACCAGAAAGCCACGGCUAACUACGUGCCAGCAGCCGCGGUAAUACGUAGGUGGCAAGCGUUGUCCGGAAUUAUUGGGCGUAAAGGGCUCGCAGGCGGUUUCUUAAGUCUGAUGUGAAAGCCCCCGGCUCAACCGGGGAGGGUCAUUGGAAACUGGGGAACUUGAGUGCAGAAGAGGAGAGUGGAAUUCCACGUGUAGCGGUGAAAUGCGUAGAGAUGUGGAGGAACACCAGUGGCGAAGGCGACUCUCUGGUCUGUAACUGACGCUGAGGAGCGAAAGCGUGGGGAGCGAACAGGAUUAGA